CAGAAACCAACUGUUGAGGUUCUAUCUCAACAUUCUCUGGAUUCAGAUGACAGCCAUAAACCGACUUCAUCCCUCCAACAGAUUGACAGCAGGACAAACCGCUGGAAGUGGGUAUGUCUCAAGCUUCUUCAACGUGGUCCACUCCAAAGCGAGCUGCAAAGGUGAAGAAGUGGAAGCAGUUGAAUGACACAUGUUGCAUUUUAUAACUGGCAACAAAGUACCAGGUAAAAAAGAUUGUGAAGCCUCCCUCCACAAAGAACUAGUAGCUCUACAGGACAGAGAUUCGCUUGCCAUCAAGUACUACAUCCAUAACAGAAUCAUAUUAAAAAAAGGAGAAUUUUUUUUUUCCACAUCUGCUGUGGUAGUUUGAGUAUGUUACCAGCAAUUAAAA